CACACACACACACACACACACACACACACACACACACACACACACACACACACACACACACACACACACACACACACACACACACACACUCACACACACAAUCAAACACACUUAACUGUAAAACUAUCACGGGUAAAGCCCAGGGAGAUUGACAGAUAGUCGAAAAAAUACUCCCGGGGGAGUCCUGAGCCUCAUAUGUGAUGGGGGGGGGGGGGGGGGGGGGGGGGUG